AGCGGGCGGAGCUCUCGAAGCAGAGUCCGCAGUGUUGCGCCUCCGCGGGUCUCCGUGCAUCGGGGCGGCGAUUGCCGUGCAGCGCCGGAAGCCGGCGACCGCUCAGGACAAGAUCUUGCUUUGUAAUCCUGGCUUGCUUGGAACCUACUGCAUAGACUAGAUUGGCUACCUAAUGCUGAAAUCCUAGGCAUGUGACACCAGGCCCAGCUAGUAACUAUUCUUGAGGGCCUUCUCUGUGACAGACAUUGUACCAGACCCUGGACAGACACCUGUGAAAAGAUGGUCAGAGCCUGACUGUCAUGGAUGCUGCAUUCUAAACUGUGAGAACUAC